UACGUAGGCAGCAAGCGUUGUUCGGAGUUACUGGGCGUAAAGGGUGCGUAGGCGGCUUCUUAAGUCUGGUGUGAAAUCUCCCGGCUCAACUGGGAGGGUGCGCCGGAUACUGAGGGGCUAGAGUGUGGGAGAGGAAAGUGGAAUUCCUGGUGUAGCGGUGAAAUGCGCAGAUAUCGGGAAGAACACCCGUGGCGAAGGCGGCUCUCUGGGCCGUAACUGACGCUGAGGAGCGAAAGCAUGGGGAGCGAACAGG
rnacentral:rRNA from 1 species